GCCAUAGCUUAGUGGGAAGAACAUGUGCUUUCCAUUCAAAAGGCCACAGGUUCAAUCCCUGGCAUCUCCA